AUACCCUCCGUGUGCAUGGUGCUUUUCAGUUGACAAAGCCCCCUCACAUUUGUUAUCAUUUGAUCCUCUCAAUAACUUUGUGGAAAAGGCAGAGCAAGUAUCAUCUCUGAAACAUCGAAGAGAAAAUGAAGAUGGGAAGAGAAACUAUUCGCUAAGGGCUUUCAAAAAUAUAGUGAAAGAAGAGAAGAUAAGGAAAGAUUUUGAGCAAAGCAAGGCAACAGACCAAGGAAAUAGAAAGCUGAUUGUGUCCAGACAUAACAGUGGCAGGAGCAACAAAACUUUGGGAUAUUUGGACACUUCGUGAUACUGACUGGUUGGCAUAGUGAGCAUUUGUUCUGGGAAGCAAGCUGCCAGACCUUGAAGACCACCAGGCAGCUCUAUGGAAAGAUCCACGUGGUAAGAACUGGGUGAGGCUUCCUGCCAGCAGCCAGCAAAAAACUGAAGGCACUCGUGGAAGUGGCUGCUCUCAGACUCCCAGGAGAGCCUUUGGAUGACUGCAAACCAAUACCUUACACCAAAAUCAACCAGCAAAGCCACGCCUCAGUUCCUGGUCCGUAGAACAUGUGAGAUAAUAAAGCUUAUUGCUUUA